UAGGUAACUAAGUUCAAAUUUUUUUUUAAAAAAAAUAGCAUACUAUUUAUUUUAUUUAUUUUUUAAAAAAAUAAACUUCGUUAGAAAUAUAAAUUAAUUAUAAUUCAAACUUGAGACAUCGAGUACCAACUAUCAAAUCUUUUUCCACUUGUACUAGCAUGCUAUCCGCUUUUUUAUUUCAUUCAGAAAUAAAUUUAACUGAAAAUGUGAAUCAACUAGGAUUUUAAUUUGGGAUCUCGGAUACCAACUACUAAAUCCUUUGCUACUUGCGCUAGGAACAGUCGGUAAUAAUUAAUAUGGCAUCUUGAUGAGCAAUAAAAUAUAGUAAAAAACAACCGUCCUAACGCAAGUGAUAAAAGACUAAUUGGUU
rnacentral:lncRNA from 1 species